rnacentral:rRNA from 1 species
GGAGGGGGCUAGCGUUGUUCGGAUUUACUGGGCGUAAAGGGCGCGUAGGCGGUAUGCCAUGUCAGGGGUGAAAGGCCUGGGCUCAACCCAGGAACUGCCUUUGAAACUGGCAAACUAGAGUCCGAUAGAGGAUGGCGGAAUUCCCAGUGUAGAGGUGAAAUUCGUAGAUAUUGGGAAGAACACCAGUGGCGAAGGCGGCCAUCUGGAUCGGCACUGACGCUGAGGCGCGAGAGCGUGGGGAGCAAACAGGGAUUAGAUACCCUGGUAGUCCACGCCGUAAACGAUGUGUGCUAGACGUUGGGGGGCCUUAGGCCCCUGGGUGUCGCAGCUAACGCGUUAAGCACACCGCCUGGGGAGUACGGCCGCAAGGUUA